rnacentral:rRNA from 1 species
UACGGAGGGGGCUAGCGUUGUUCGGAAUUACUGGGCGUAAAGCGCACGUAGGCGGCUUUGCAAGUCAGAGGUGAAAGCCCGGGGCUCAACCCCGGAAUAGCCUUUGAGACUGCAUCGCUAGAAUUGUGGAGAGGUAGGUGGAAUUCCGAGUGUAGAGGUGAAAUUCGUAGAUAUUCGGAAGAACACCAGUGGCGAAGGCGACUUACUGGACACAUAUUGACGCUCAUGUGCGAAAGCGUGGGGAGCAAACAGG